rnacentral:misc_RNA from 1 species
GAUGAAGAACGCAGCGAAAUGCGAUACUUGGUGUGAAUUGCAGAAUCCCGUGAACCAUCGAGUCUUUGAACGCAAGUUGCGCCCGAAGCCACUAGGCCGAGGGCACGCCUGCCUGGGCGUCACACGCCGUUGCCCCCCCAUCAACUCCUUCGGGAUUGCGGGGGGGCGGAUGAUGGCCUCCCGUGCGCCUAGCCGCGCGGUUGGCAUAAAUACCAAGUCCUCGGCGACGCACGCCACGACAAUCGGUGGUUGCGAAACCUCGGUUGCCCGUCGUGUGCGUUCGUCGCGCAUCGAGGGCUCGAAAAAAUGCUCGGCUCCGGCUGGGCUUUCAACGCGACCCCAGGUCAGGCGGGGUUACCCGCUGAAUUUAAGCAUAUCAAUAAGCGGAGGA